CUAACGGCUGAACCAGCAACUUGGAGGAAAGUAUAGCAUUAGCUAGUUAUAUUUAGUUAAAUAUAAUUUCGACUAUGUCGUAUAAAAUUCUAGGUAGAUUAUGAUAAUGACAUUUUUUAUCUAUGUGUCUUGACCAAAUCUCGUGCCAGCAGUCGCGGUAAGACGAGAGAGACUAGUGUUAUUCAUCUUUAAUAGGUUUAAAGGGUACCUAGACGGUAUUUCUAGCCAAUAAGGUACAGAUUUACUAGAGUUUAAUAUGUAGGAGGGUAGUAUUUCUGGUGUAGAGAUGAAAUAUUUUGAUACCUUUAAGACUGGUAAAAGCGAAAGCAACCUUCCAUGUAUAAACUGACGUUGAAAGGACGAAGGCUUGGGGAGCGAAUAGGAUUAGAUACCCUAGUAGUCCAAGCAGAAAAUGAUGAAUGCCAUAGACUACAAGUUAGAGCCAAGAUUUCUUGCGAUUUCUUUUGUCUAUAAAUUAAAGUGUAAGCAUUCCACCUCAAGAGUAAUGUGGCAACGCAGGAACUGAAAUCAUUAGACCGUUUCUGAAACCAGUAGUGAAGUAUGUUAUUUAAUUCGAUGAUCCACGAAAAACCUUACCACAAUUUGAAUAUAUAAUUAGAUCUAAUUAUAUACAAGCGUUGCACGGCUGUCUUCAGUUAAUGUCGUGAGAUUUGGUUAGAUCUUUUAAAAAUUAACGUAAACCCUUACUUUAUUUAUUAAUAAUAAAGUAGUAGUUAUCCAAGCUUAUUGGAUAAAAUAAAAGGGACUAAGACAAGUCAUCAU
rnacentral:rRNA from 1 species